AUUGAACGCUGGCGGCAGGCCUAACACAUGCAAGUCGAGCGGAGCGGCGGACGGGCGAGUAAUGCCUAGGAAUCUGCCUGGUAGCGGGGGAUAACGUCCGGAAACGGGCGCUAAUAUCGCAAAGUAUCACAUGAGCCGAGGUGGGAUUAGCUAGUUGGUGGGGUAAAGGCCUACCAAGGCGACGAUCCGUAACUGGACUGAGAGGAUGAGCCGUCAAACUGGAACUGAGACACGGUCCAGACUCCUACGGGCGGCAGCAGUGGGGAAUAUUGGACAAUGGGCGAAACCCUGAUCCAGCCAUGCCGCGUGUGUGAAGAAGGUCUUCGGAUUGUAAAGCACUUUAAGUUAGGAGGCGUUACUAACAGAAUAAGCACCGGCUAACUCCGUGCCAGCAGCCGCGGUAAUAC
rnacentral:rRNA from 1 species